rnacentral:rRNA from 1 species
AUUGAACGCUGGCGGCAUGCUUUACACAUGCAAGUCGAACGGUAACAGGCCACAAGGUGCUGACGAGUGGCGAACGGGUGAGUAAUGCAUCGGAACGUGCCCAGUCGUGGGGGAUAACUACUCGAAAGAGUAGCUAAUACCGCAUACGAUCUAUGGAUGAAAGCGGGGGACCGUAAGGCCUCGCGCGAUUGGAGCGGCCGAUGUCAGAUUAGGUAGUUGGUGGGGUAAAGGCUCACCAAGCCAACGAUCUGUAGCUGGUCUGAGAGGACGACCAGCCACACUGGGACUGAGACACGGCCCAGACUCCUACGGGAGGCAGCAGUGGGGAAUUUUGGACAAUGGGCGCAAGCCUGAUCCAGCAAUGCCGCGUGCAGGAAGAAGGCCUUCGGGUUGUAAACUGCUUUUGUACGGAACGAAACGGCUCUGGUUAAUACCCGGGGCUAAUGACGGUACCGGAAGAAUAAGCACCGGCUAACUACGUG